rnacentral:rRNA from 2 species
UGAAGUAAGUAAGGGCGUACGGUGAAUGCCUUGGUGCCAACAGGCGAAGAAGGACGCGGCAAGCUGCGAAAAGCCUCGGGAAGCUGCAAGCAAGCGAUGAUCCGGGGAUAUCCGAAUGGGGUAACCUGAUCGAGGCAAUACUCGAUCGUUCAUACCUGAAUACAUAGGGUAUGAAACGCGAAACCCGCUGAAGUGAAACAUCUCAGUAAGCGGAGGAAAAGAAAGAGAAAUCGAUUCCGUAAGUAGUGGCGAGCGAAAGCGGAUGGAGCCCAAACCGAAGGUAUUCCUUCGGGGUUGUAGGACCACGUCAUAUUCGACCAUACUGGAUAGUAGAACAGCCUGGAAAGGCUGGCCGGAGAAGGUGAAAGCCCUGUAGACGAAAUCCAGAGUGGGAAUUAGUGGUAUCCUGAGUAAUACAUCACACGUGGAACGAUGUAUGAACCCGCGCGGACCACCGCGCAAGGCUAAAUACUAGUUGGCGACCGAUAGUGAACAAGUACCGCGAGGGAAAGGUGAAAAGAACCGCUGUGAGCGGAGUGAAAUAGAACCUGAAACCGUAUGUCUACAAAGUGUCAGAGCAGAGCAAUCUGCGAUGGCGUGCCUUUUGUUUAAUGAGUCUGCGAGUCAGUGUUUGUGGCAAGACUAAGGGCUUCCGGCCCGGAGUCGCAGCGAAAGCAAGUCCGAACAGGGCGCAAUAAGUCGCAGGUACUGGACCCGAAGCGGAGGUGACCUACCCUUGGCCAGGUUGAAGCAUGGGUAAAACCAUGUGGAGGACCGAACAGGUGAACGUUGAAAAGUUCUCUGAUGAGCUGAGGGUAGGAGUGAAAGGCUAAUCAAACCCCGUGAUAGCUGGUUCUCUUCGAAAUGCAUUUAGGUGCAGCGUCACGUGCUGAUGCGCGGGGGUAGAGCACUGACAAGGCUAGGGGGCACACCCGCUUACCAAACCUUAUCAAACUCCGAAUACCGUGCAAUGGAACGUGGCAGUGAGACAGUGGGGGAUAAGCUUCAUUGUCGAGAGGGAAACAACCCAGAUCAGCAGCUAAGGUGCCUAAAUAACGCUCAGUGGAAAGGAUGUGGGAUUACACAGACAGUGAGGAUGUUGGCUUAGAAGCAGCCACCAUUUAAAAAAUGCGUAAUAGCUUACUCAUCGAGUGAUCCUGCGCCGAAAAUGAUUGGCGAUCAAGCGUUAUACCGAAGCUCUGGACUUUGCCGCAAGGCAGAGUGGUAGAAGAGCGUUGCAUGCGCGUCGAAGGGCGAUGGCGACUGACCCUGGAGCACAUGCAAGUGAGUAUGCAGACAUGAGUAACGUUAAGCCGGGUGAAAUCCCCGGCCGCCGUAAACCCGAGGUUUCCAGGGCAACGUGUUUCGUCCCUGGGUUAGCCGGGACCUAAGCCGAGGCCGAGAGGCGUAGGCGAUGGACAUCAGGUUAAUAAUCCUGAGCUCGCAACCCUUAAACUGGGGGGACGCAUGAGAAAAGAUGACUAGGUUAUUGAAUUCCGAGUUGAGUCCACGGACUCAGCGCAUCAUUGGAUCGAGUGCCAAGAAAAGCCCCAGCGUAUGCUAAGCGACCCGUACCGCAAACCGACACAGGUGGGUGGGUAGAAUAUACCAAGGCGUAAGAGUGAAACCUGGUUAAGGAACUCGGCAAAUUAGCCCCGUAACUUCGGAAGAAGGGGUGCCUGCAGCGAUGCAGGCCGCAGAGAAAUGGCCCAACCGACUGUUUAUCAAAAACACAGCACUCUGCAAAGACGCAAGUCGAAGUAUAGGGUGUGACACGUGACCAAUGCCGAAAGAUUAAGGCAAGGGGUUAGCCGCAAGGCGAAGCUCUAAACCCAAGUCCCGGUGAAUGUCGGCCGUAACUAUAACGGUCCUAAGGUAGCGAAAUUCCUUGUCGGGUAAGUUCCG